rnacentral:rRNA from 1 species
AUCGAACGCUGGCGGCAGGCCUAACACAUGCAAGUCGAGCGAGCGGCGGACGGGCGAGUAAUGUAUGGGGAUCUGCCCGAUAGAGGGGGAGAACUACUGGAAACGGUGGCUAAUACCGCAUACUAUCGGAUGAACCCACAUGGGAUUAGCUAGUCGGUGGGGUAAAGGCUCACCUAGGCGACGAUCUCUAGCUGGUCUGAGAGGAUGAUCAGCCACACUGGGACUGAGACACGGCCCAGACUCCUACGGGAGGCAGCAGUAGGGAAUAUUGCGCAAUGGGCGCAAGCCUGAUGCAGCCAUGCCGCGUGUGUGAAGAAGGCCUUAGGAUUGUAAAAUACUUUCAGCGGAGAAGCGUUACCCACAGAAGAAGCACCGGCUAACUCCGUGCCAGCAGCCGCGGUAAUUC